AACAAACGCUGGCGGCGUGCCUAAUACAUGCAAGUCGAACGGGGAAAGCUUUCGGGUGAGUACUAGUGGCGCACGGGUGAGUAACGCGUGGAUAAUCUGCCUUAGAGUGGGGGAUAACUAGUCGAAAGAUUAGCUAAUACCGCAUAAGACCACAAGAACUGCGGUUCAAGGGGUCAAAGGUUUUUCGCUCUAAGAUGAGUCCGCGUAAGAUUAGCUAGUUGGUAGGGUAACGGCCUACCAAGGCGACGAUCUUUAACUGGUCUGAGAGGAUGAUCGGUCACACUGGAACUGAGACACGGUCCAGACUCCUACGGGAGGCAGCAGUAGGGAAUAUUGCACAAUGGAGGAAACGCCGAUGCAGCGACGCCGCGUGAGUGAUGAAGGCCUUCGGGUCGUAAAGCUCUGUCGCAGGGGAAUAACACAAUGAAGGUACCCUGUAAGAAAGGAUCGGCUAACUUCGUGCCAGCCGCCGCCGUAAGAC
rnacentral:rRNA from 1 species